rnacentral:rRNA from 1 species
UGGGGAAUAUUGGACAAUGGGCGCAAGCCUGAUCCAGCCAUGCCGCGUGAGUGAUGAAGGCCCUAGGGUUGUAAAGCUCUUUCACCGGUGAAGAUAAUGACGGUAACCGGAGAAGAAGCCCCGGCUAACUUCGUGCCAGCAGCGGCGGUAAUACGAAGGGGGCUAGCGUUGUUCGGAUUUACUGGGCGUAAAGCGCACGUAGGCGGACUUUUAAGUCAGGGGUGAAAUCCCGGGGCUCAACCCCGGAACUGCCUUUGAUACUGGAAGUCUUGAGUAUGGUAGAGGUGAGUGGAAUUCCGAGUGUAGAGGUGAAAUGCGUAGAUAUUCGGAGGAACACCAGUGGCGAAGGCGGCUCACUGGACCAUUACUGACGCUGAGGUGCGAAAGCGUGGGGAGCAAACAGG